GUCCGCGUUGCCUGCGGCGGUCCUGCAUCGCGUUGUGGUCGCGAGGGUCGCGGGUUCAAACCCCGUCGCUCACCCCA
rnacentral:tRNA from 1 species